AAUGGCAAUGGGACCCGCAGACCAAUAAUUGAGUUAAAAAGCCCCGUUUUGAUGAUUAUCUCGAAAACCAGUACCGAUUGGACCCCGCUUUAUUAAUAUAAAGCUAUUAAAUACGUAUUUUCAUGUCAUAAACGAUCCAAAGGGGUACCAAUUAUUUGUAAAUAUAAAUAGACCUUUCUAGAGCUGAUUUUCACCCGUAAAAUCAUUCCACCAGUUUCUCUGCACGAAUACCGAGAGAAACCGAGCGGUGUUCUUCGUGUUCUUCAUAAUCAAACGAAGAUUUGAAGGCGUUAUUGGAGUCAGAAUCAAGCGUGCGAAUAGUCAAAUCGAAGAUAUCGAAGAAUAGAACUCUAAUCAAUCAUCAAAAACAACCUGAGAUUCACAGGAUUUGGACGAGACGUGUACGCUGGAAGACGUCAGAAAGUCGGAUUGGUAUUGCAAAGCGAAUAAGGGAUGAUUGAGUAAGCGAAGCGAAGUGGCGAAUAGAGUAUAGCUAGAGAUGGUCUAGAGAUUACGAGAUGCAUAGAUUGUGAAAGUGGAAAGAUGAGAUAGAGAUGUGAGACUGGAGUCAGAUUUAAGAAAGGCUUAAAGAUGAGAUGAUUGAUUGAGAUUGUGAGUAAGGCUAAUGCUAGGCGAGGAGACAGAGUUGAGGACCCAGUGGUCGAGGAGUGUUCAGGAAAAUUGAUGAGGUUGGUGCAAGCUGGAAUAGUUGACAGUGAUUCUUCUUAUUGAGGAUGAUCUGAUUGGUAAGAGAUGUUGUGUAAUAAUAGUGGUAGAUUCUAAUUUCAAUACUGUAACCUGGAUGCGAUCCUGUUGCUUUUAGGGGGUUUAAAUGUUCUCUUUCGAAUCAGUUAUUAAAGUUUAAAUGUUCUCUUGAAA